GCUGGGCGUGGUGGCGCAUGCCUGUAAUCCCAGUGGCAGGAGGUUAAGACAGGGGGAUGGAGAGUUCAAAGUCAGCCUCAGCAAUUUAGCGAGACCCUGUCUCUA
rnacentral:sRNA from 1 species